GUGAGAGAUUCUUUCUUUGUGGGCGUGAUUUGUUUGUGACUCUAUCUGAGACUUAGAUUGGAUGCUCCUUCCAACUUGGCUGAUUGCCCUUCUCAGAUUUUUCUAUGAAAAAAAAAGAAGAUAGAUAAUUAAAAGAAAUGCAUAAACUAGAUUGUCUUCUAAGAGCGCUAAGUUUAAAGUCUUCAGUCAGACUAUACUGAGUAUCA
rnacentral:lncRNA from 1 species